AGAUCUAAUAUUAUCAAAACUUACAUGAGAAAAGAUAUUGCUUUAUUCCUGAAUACUGGCUGGGGUAGAAAAGAAUUUUCCUUGGAAUGUAAACUUUGGAGCUGGUAUUUUUAAGGGCCCAAUAAACAUACUGAUGCUCUUGAUGUUCAGUCAGUUGAGCAGACUGAAUGUUUCUGCUGUUAACCAUUCUUUAUGGAAAUGAUCUUAGUCACAGAAUACUAAUAAAAUUGGCCUGAUCACUGCAUUCAGAAAGGUUUUUUAAAUACCCUCAUAUAUGAUAUAUAGUUAGUGAGAUUAAGAAAAUGAAUCUGUCAACCUUGCAGAUUAAGCUUGAGCUUCUAUGCAUUUUGUUCCUCCUGGAAGAUGUCAAACCAUAGGUAAAAAUCUCCCCUAAGUAAGAAUGUUUUCUCUAGGGAUACAAAGCUAAGUUUGAAAACGUAAGUGAGUUCAAUUCCUUAAUGUCAGUUUGGAGCAUGUAGUUAAUAUGUUGAAAUGGUAUGAGAAAAACACGCUACUUGUCUGUGGGAAAUAAAAUCACGGUAGCAAAAAGGACGCCGAAGACAGCAAAGCACAAAAGCAUAGCGAAAGGUACUUGGGCAGCUUUGAGGUUCUCUGUGAUGUAGGAUGCUUUCUUGUUUUGUUAAGAAUAGGAUAUUUAGGCAACCAGUAGUUCUCAACCCCUUUCUUUGUCAGCAUACAUGGUGUAUCCAUCCUUUUGCAUGUUUGACCCACUCAGGCUUUGGCCUAGUUGAGAGGCUAUAGUCUCUGCAUGAGUCUCACUGUAACGCCACCUUUUUUUUUUCUCCCACAAACUUAAGGCACACUGUCUUGCAGAAUACCAAGGUUGAGAACCACUAUGUUAUUAAACUGAGCAUAAAAUUCAUACAAAAUCUGGAAUUCACCUAUGAGUGAUGGCUUUUAUCACUUUUACCUUACCAAAUGGAAGGUAGCUUAUUAACAGCCAAUAUGUAUGUUUCCUUGUGUUCUAGGAAUAAAGGAAAACAUAAUUUUAGAUGUCUUGUUCAGAAGAAAAAAAAUAGUUUAUAAGAUAUAUGAACUAUAGUAUAUAAGAUAUAUGAACUAUCUCUGUGGUUCUAGAUUUUUAUGUAUUUUUAGUUCCAUAAAGCCAAUUGAAAGAUGUAUCUUCAGCAGUGCAUAUAUUCAGUAAGCCUCAGAUUCUGUUUACUCUUUUGCUGUUUUCUUUCCUAACGUGCUACUGUACACUUCCUGGUUAUACCUUGCAGCAAGUUGAGCUUUAUUUUUUUCCUAAAAGGAAAUAAUUUUUUCUCUUUCUGCUUAUCAGAAUAUCCAUGCUUAUGAUAAGAAAUUUAGACAGUAUAGAAGGUAUGAAGAAUGUAAAAAUUAAGUUGAUGAGAUAAUUUUUUUAAUCAGAAUUACUUUGAAUCAUUUUGGUUUUUAAAAUAGCCUUCAUAACAUUUAUCCUCUUUACUUCGACCAUCCUGUUAUUUACUUAGUAUCCCAGCCUUAAUUUAUGCAUAGUGUUGAAACUACUCUAAUGCUUGAAAACUAAAACAGUUCCUCCAGAUUGCUCAAUAUGGUAAAUAUCAUUGGAUAAACAAAUUUGUUGUUGUUGUCUAAGUCUGAGAAUGUUAAAGCUUUUUUUUUCCCUACCGUGGCUUCUAGUGUUGUAAGCACGUUUUGCCUUUUUAAAUAUUUACAUUGUUUAUUAACAAAGGAAAAAACUGAUCCUCCUGUAAAUAACUUGAUAAAAACUUGAAUUUCCCAUUAGAGUUAAAAGAUGUAUGCUUGAGUCCAUAUACUGGGGAAAUUAAGUUAUGGGAAAGGAUUACACACACCCUCUUUUUUUUUUAUGUGUUUUCACAAGGUUCCAGUGAGGACUGGGAAGAAGAGUGUAUAUUUCCAAGGUCAAAUUAUCAGAGUCGAAGCAUUUUUUCCCAGAAUGUAGGAAUAGUGUAGAAAACAGUUCAGUGUUUAUAUGUUUAUGUACUACUUUUUUACAAGAGUAAAGAAUACUAGUUAUUAUGAUUAUUAAACUAGAAACUUGAAGUUUCACUGAAAUCAGCUUUUUCUACAUUAGAAAGUUUAAAAUAAACCUGUAAAAGGCAAAAAGUUUCUGAGACCUUGGAGACUUAAACUGGUUCUGAUCUCAUUUUUUUUCCUUUCCACUGAAUAUGUCCUCUUGGAAACGGAUGUCUUCCCUGGCCAAAGAUUGAGCCACUAACGUGUCUUGCAGAUGUGUACUCUUGAUCACGAGGAACCUAUUUGACAGAGGAAGACAUGUUCACAAGUGAGGAAAAUUGUCUUUAUUCUCUGUCAUUAGGCAGACCCAGAUAUGAAUUUCACAUGAAUGACCGUUGCUUAUUUUUCAAAUUUGUAUUUUCAUUGUGUUAAUUUUAAUGUCUGAAAAGUACGAAGAAUAUCUGUAUUAAAUAGUAAAUAACUGAAGUAUAAAAUGUGUUAGCAUUCUAAGUAAGAGGAAUUCAAAAUAAGGUUUAACCUUUGAUUUAACACUGCCUCUCAUAGGUGGAUUUUUUUUCAUCUAAAGGAAGCUGAGAUAAUUCACAGGCUUUCCCAAGAUUCCUCCAUUACUUGUUACAGUCAAUUUGAAAUGGAAACACCCUACUGGUUUUCAGAAAAAUAAAUUGUGGCCACCUCAGAACAUCAAAUACCUUUCCCUUUUUCAGUAUCUUCUAUAGCUAAUAAAAUGAAUGAACACUGUCAGAAUUCUACCAAUUCUGUUAA